GGGGUUCUUUAGGACAUAUUUUGUUCGGUACAUUUUCAGUGGCAAUUCAGUGGCAGAACUCUCUGAAAUCCUCUGGAUCAACUCAUCAUUUUAUAUACUUAAUCGAAAUGGAAACUGGUAGAAUCAACUUGUACUAAGCUCUAGAAAUUAUACCUAAACUAAGGUGUCGAUCAGGUCAGACUGCGAGCGGUGAUGCGAUUAAGCCGUUCUAAGAUCAAUCGAUAAGCUAGGUUCAGGUGUGUCAUCCAGCAUAAUCUAGUCGAAAAACCAACAGGUGACUAAGCAUGUAGACGGUACGGUGUUUCCUUAUCUGGACGCGAGUUCGAAUCUCGCCAGCUCCACAA
rnacentral:misc_RNA from 1 species